UACGUAGGCAGCAAGCGUUGUUCGGAAUUACUGGGCGUAAAGAGUGUGUAGGCGGUGCUCUAAGUCUGUUGUGAAAUCUCCCGGCCUAACCGGGAGGGUGCGGCGGAAACUGGAGUGCUUGAGGGUGGGAGAGGUAAGCGGAAUUCCUGGUGUAGCGGUGAAAUGCGUAGAUAUCAGGAGGAACACCUGUGGUGUAGACAGCUUACUGGACCACUUCUGACGCUGAGACACGAAAGCGUGGGUAGCAAACAGG
rnacentral:rRNA from 1 species